CGACACGGAGAGCUGAACUUGGGGAGCAAGAAGCCCCGAAAGAUCCUACCUGGAUUCCAAACAUUACCUAAUGGCUCUUCACGCAAGUUAUGGGUAAUGUGGGAAUUAGCUGUCAUGAUGCUACCAGCAAAAGACUGUGGACUUGUCCCAUCCAUUGGUAAACUGCUGGCAUCUUCCUUGAUUGAAGGUGAAUCUGGAGUAACUGUUCUUUUGGUAAAUGCUGGAAAGGCAAGAGAAAAGACAAAAAUAAACCUAAAUGAAUAAAAUCCUUGGGCUGACAAAAUUGUAAGUAA